GCAACUGGGUUCAAGCUGUUUUUAAAAAUGUGCAGGCCAAUCAUACACAACGCGACGCAAGCUCCCUUGCAGAAAGUAAAGAAGAUGAUCUGGAAGACUGUGAAGAGUCACGCGAAUGCCAGCAAGAACUGACGUCCACACAGCAUCUAGAAGGAGCACAAAGCCUGGCUGAUUUAGACUCGUCAUCCUCUCGUCCACUUCGUUUCACCCUCUCCUCCACAUGUGCCAACACCUGCAAAUCUUCCACAGCAGGUGGAGGAGAUUGAUGAAGCUCAGACUGUGGAAACCACCAAGACUGGAUUCCAGAGUGACAUCUCUUCUUCCACGGUGGUGCUGUCAGAUGGUGAAGAUUUCAAGGAACAUACAGAUACCGAGACGGCAGCUGAGCAACCGAGUUCACAGGAAUGUGAAACUAAG